UGGGGAAUAUUGGGCAAUGGGGGCAACCCUGACCCAGCGACGCCGCGUGGGUGAAGAAAUCCCUCGGGAUGUAAACCUCUGUUGUGUGGGAAGAAGAGCGUGACGGUACCACACGAGGAAGUCCCGGCUAACUACGUGCCAGCAGCCGCGGUAAUACGUAGGGGACGAGCGUUGUCCGGAUUUACUGGGCGUAAAGGGCGCGUAGGCGGUCAUUUAAGUCAGCUGUGAAAUGGUUUGGCUUAACCGGAUCAUGCGGUUGAAACUGGAUGACUGGAGUGCUGGAGAGGCAAGUGGAAUUCCCAGUGUAGCGGUGAAAUGCGUAGAUAUUGGGAAGAACACCGGUGGCGAAGGCGACUUGCUGGCCAGCAACUGACGCUGAGGCGCGAAAGCCAGGGGAGCAAACG
rnacentral:rRNA from 1 species